AUACGGAGGGUGCAAGCGUUACUCGGAAUCACUGGGCGUAAAGCGCGCGCAGGCGGGCUGAUAAGUUGGAUGUGAAAGCCUACGGCCCAACCGUAGAACUGCAUCCAAAACUGUCAGUCUAGAGUCUGGGAGGGGAAGAUGGAAUUAGUUGUGUAGGGGUAAAAUCCGUAGAGAUAACUAGGAAUACCAAAAGCGAAGGCGAUCUUCUGGAACAGUACUGACGCUGAGGCGCGAAAGCGUGGGGAGCAAACAGGAUUAGAUACCCUAGUAGUCC
rnacentral:rRNA from 1 species